rnacentral:lncRNA from 1 species
CAAUAACGAAAGAAAGACAAUCCUUUUAUCACCAGAAAAUAAGUGUUAGUUUUCAGACAACACUUCCGCAUCUCGAUGCCUGGGUGAUGUUUUUCAGUGACCAACACAGGACUUAGGAAAAGACGUCGUGUCAUGCUGUUCAAGGUCACUGAGAUCUGGCCUUGCCCCCAGGUGUCAGCCAGAAGAACCCAGAGCGGGUAGAGGAAAUGUCUUCCUCUCCUAUACUGGACAACUGUGUCACUGCCAGAUCAUCUCCAAGCAAACUCCUCCCUUGGUGGCAUGUGCAUUUUCAGAGAGAGCACUUAUAGACCCAAAAGUCUUCAUCUUCAAGAAGCUUGAUCCACAUGGUGAAAUUCCAGGCAUCAUGGCAGACCUUGCAGGGAGUUAUGUAUAGGAAAUGGACUGGCAAGUUGGAAUGAAAACAGAUAAGAGAACAAAAGCCCAGCUAAGAAGAGUGGAAUUUAUUUCGAAGACAAUGACGAGUCACUGGAGUUUUUGACCAGCUGCAAUUUCUCCCUUGGAGAAUAUGAAGAGAAAAAAAGAGGAGGCUAAGGAUCUAUAUCAUCUGUUGAGCUGGUAAUGGAACCAGUGAUGGAGUAUUCCAUGGCCACCAGGCUAUCACCUGGAUCAACUCCUUCUGCCUCGACCCAGCCAUUCUACCCUGGGAAGUGCCUCAACCACUGGCCAGGAAACCUGAGUUCUGUUCCAGGCUCUGCCACUGACCUGCUAAACCCACUGAGGAAGACCAAGCAGGAGUUGCUUCAGAGGAGGCAUGGAUACGAACGUGGAGAGGGGAGAAGGAGAAGCCACUGCCUUGAGGAGAGUUAAGUGUCCUUUGAGACGGGAGUUAAGGCAGACGGAGACUCACAGCAGAUAAAAUUUGAUCUAGAAGAGUAAAGGAUUAUGACAUGGAUUGUAUUAAAAAUUUAUACCUGCU